AUGCAACUUUUCCAGGCUGCAACACGAGCGUUCAUUGGAGACGGACGGGACACCCUGUUCUGGGAGGAUAGGUGGCUUGAUGGCUACCGGAUGCAGGAGUUGGCACCGCGGGCAUACAUCGCAGCUCCAGGACGGACAAGGAAAGAAAGGACUGUCUUUGAGGCUGUUGCACAAGGGAGUUGGGCCACGGAUAUUGGGCCUAGCAUCGACGUGGCCGGAUUGAACAAAUACAUGAGUAUUUGGCCCAGGAUUGUGGCAGUGCAGCUGCAGGAGGGAGCCGCUGAUUCCAUCUCGUGGUCAUGGGAGAGCAGUGACGAGUUCUCGGCCAGGUCGGCCUAUGCGGCCAAAUUUGCCGUAUGGCAGGUCUCGCCCACGGCGGCAUUCACAUGGUGUUCGAGGACUCCGCUCCGGUGUCGGUUCUUUGCAUGGUUGGCAAUCAUGGAUCAUUGUUGGACUUCCGACCGGCUGGCACGCCGUGGCCUGCCGCACCAGGAUACUCGUCCUUCUUGUGACCAGCACGACGAAACGAUCAGCCAUCUUCUUGUGGAGUGCGUGCUAGCAAGGAAGGUUUGGACCCGGGUCUUCUCCGCCCUAGGCAACCCGGGAGGCGCGCCGCAGGCUGGAGAGUCACUGUAG
rnacentral:rRNA from 1 species